rnacentral:rRNA from 2 species
UACAGAGGGGGCGAGCGUUGUUCGGAAUUACUGGGCGUAAAGGGCGCGUAGGCGGCCUCUUAAGUCGAACGUGAAAUCCCCGGGCUCAACCCGGGAACUGCGUCCGAUACUGGGGGGCUUGAAUCCGGGAGAGGGAUGUGGAAUUCCAGGUGUAGCGGUGAAAUGCGUAGAUAUCUGGAGGAACACCGGUGGCGAGGGCGGCAUCCUGGACCGGUAUUGACGCUGAGGCGCGAAAGCCAGGGGAGCAAACGGG